rnacentral:tRNA from 5 species
CGGAGCGUAGCGCAGUCUGGUAGCGCACUACACUGGGGGUGUAGGGGUCGUGGGUUCAAAUCCCGCCGCUCCGACCA